rnacentral:misc_RNA from 1 species
AAAUAUUGGAGAAAGAAAAGAAGGAGAGAGCUUUGGCUUUGGCUGACAACAGACCUUUACCUACACUGUAUAGCAGUUCUGACGUCCGUCCUCUGAAGAUGGAGGAUUUUAAAUAUGCACACGAACAGGUGUGUGCGAGUGUGUCAUCCGAGUCUACAAAUAUGAAUGAGCUACUCCAAUGGAAUGAUCUAUAUGGAGAAGGUGGAUCGAGAAAGAUGAUUCCUCUUACAUGAAAUAGCUGAGAGAUUUCUUCGUAUAGCAUUUCAUGCUUUCAAGUUUAUUCUUCAUCGCCUCAAUAGGUGGGCCGGUAUUUAUGGGAUUCCAUUGCAGGUCCUGUACCCCAUUGUAUUAUACAUAGGUUUUGAGUUAUUCUCUGUAGAAAUUUUACAAUAUUUU